CGUUCAUGGGUAAGUGGCUGCCCGGGAUCUCACGGAGAUCCCGGGCGCGCGCCCGGCACCGCGUGUCGGGGCUCGGCACCCGGAUGGGGGGC
rnacentral:tRNA from 2 species